rnacentral:rRNA from 1 species
GAUGAACGCUAGCUACAGGCUUAACACAUGCAAGUCGAGGGACCGGCGCACGGGAGAGUAACACGUAUCCAACCUGCCCUUUACUCGGGGAUAGCCUUUCGCAAGAACGAUUAAUACCCAAUGUAAAGGAUGGGGAUGCGUUCCAUUAGGUUGUUGGUAAGGUAACGGCUCACCAAGCCUUCGAUGGAUAGGGGUGCGGAGUGGAAGGUCCCCCACAUUGGAACUGAGGCACAGUCCAAACUCCUACGGGGGGCAGGGGUAAGGAAUAUUGGGCACUGAGCCCUAGCCUGAACCUGCCGAGUAGCGGAAGGGAGGAUGGCUUUUGAGUGGUAAACUUCCUUUAUAUAAGGAUAUUUAUUAUAUGAAUAAGGAUCGGCUAACUCCGUGCCAGCAGCCGCGGUAAUUC